rnacentral:rRNA from 1 species
GAUGAACGCUGGCGGCGUGCCUAAUACAUGCAAGUCGAGCGAACGGACGAGAAGCUUGCUUCUCUGAUGUUAGCGGCGGACGGGUGAGUAACACGUGGAUAACCUACCUAUAAGACUGGGAUAACUUCGGGAAACCGGAGCUAAUACCGGAUAAUAUUUUGAACCGCAUGGUUCAAAAGUGAAAGACGGUCUUGCUGUCACUUAUAGAUGGAUCCGCGCUGCAUUAGCUAGUUGGUAAGGUACGGCUUACCAAGGCAACGAUGCAUAGCCGACCUGAGAGGGUGAUCGGCCACACUGGAACUGAGACACGGUCCAGACUCCUACGGGAGGCAGCAGUAGGGAAUCUUCCGCAAUGGGCGAAAGCCUGACGGAGCAACGCCGCGUGAGUGAUGAAGGUCUUCGGAUCGUAAAACUCUGUUAUUAGGGAAGAACAUAUGUGUAAGUAACUGUGCACAUCUUGACGGUACCUAAUCAGAAAGCCACGGCUAACUACGU